rnacentral:pre_miRNA from 1 species
UGUGCACCAGUGGGGUCCCUCAGCCUGGCCUGCACCCUCUUGCAAUCUGGGACCCCUCGGGGGAUGUCGGAGAGCUGGUUUCAGCCUGAUCCCGCAGGCCAGGCUGAGGGACCCCACUGGUGCACG